rnacentral:rRNA from 1 species
AGAGUUUGAUCAUGGCUCGAGGACGACGCUGGCGGCGUGCCUAACACAUGCAAGUCGAACGGAACUGUUUUGAUUGAUUCUUCGGAUGAAAGAUUUUCAGUUUAGUGGCGGACGGGUGAGUAACGCGUGAGUAACCUGCCUCUGAGAGGGGAAUAACGUUCUGAAAAGAACGCUAAUACCGCAUAACACAUAUUUUUCGCAUGGAAGAUAUGUCAAAGAUUUUAUCGCUCAGAGAUGGACUCGCGUCCGAUUAGUUAGUUGGUGAGGUAACGGCUCACCAAGACCGCGAUCGGUAGCCGGACUGAGAGGUUGAACGGCCACAUUGGGACUGAGACACGGCCCAGACUCC